UGAACCUGCGNNNNNAUCAUNACACAAUAACCAGGCGGGCUGGACACCCCCCGCUGGGCACUGCUUCACGGCGUGCGCGGCGGGGCCGGCCCUGCUGAAUUAUUCACCCGUGUCUUUUGCGUACUUCUUGUUUCCUGGGUGGGCUCGCCCGCCCUCAGGACCAACCACAAACCUUUUGCAAUAGCAAUCAGCGUCAGUAACAACGUAAUUAAUUACAACUUUCAACAACGGAUCUCUUGGUUCUGGCAUCGAUGAAGAACGCAGCGAAAUGCGAUACGUAGUGUGAAUUGCAGAAUUCAGUGAAUCAUCGAAUCUUUGAACGCACAUUGCGCCCUUUGGUAUUCCAAAGGGCAUGCCUGUUCGAGCGUCAUUUGUACCCUCAAGCUUUGCUUGGUGUUGGGCGUCUUUUGACUCCAGUUCGCUGGAGACUCGCCUUAAAGUCAUUGGCAGCCGGCCUACUGGUUUCGGAGCGCAGCACAAGUCGCGCUCUUUGCCAGCCAAGGUCAGCGUCCAGCAAGCCUUUUUUUCAACCUUUGACCUCGGAUCAGGUAGGGAUACCCGCUGAACUUAAGCAUAUCA
rnacentral:rRNA from 1 species